GGAAAGUCCACAGAUUUGUUCUAAUUUCUGUGACCUUGUGAGGUUGUAACAUUUCUACAAGCAACAGCUAAUUAACAUCGGGUUAAGAUGACCUCUCGUGAAGUGAUCAGCAUUGCGUCGGAUGAGAGUGGCACAGCGGACGAAGAGCAAAGCCCGCAGAAUAAGGUCGAAAAAAAGCAAACCAGCAGUUCUCGGAAGCACAAGAAGCACAAGCGCCACAAGAAAUCAUCCAAAUCGGACCGUGCGGACAAGGUAUACAAGAGCAAGAAACAUAAAAAACAUAAACGAAAGCAUCGUGAGGAGGAUGGCGCCGCUGAUGGCAACAGUACGACCGAUGGAGAGCCCUCGCGGAAUGGGUCAAAAGUGGCAGAUGUACGCAUACAGGAAUUGCCGGUUAUUAAACCGAAACCUAUCCAACUUGAGAGCGAUGAAUCGGAGCGAGUGCGACCAAAAAACAACGGGAGCACCAGAGUGGUAGUGGUCGAGAAGCGCAAGGAACACAUUUCGACGGAUCCGGACAAGUUAGUGCACUUGUUGACCAAGGAACUUGACAAGCAUAAAGAGGAUGUAGUUUCGGUAGAAAGCGAGAGCGACGAAACUGCGGUGGAGGACGCUCCGAGCCCGGAUGUGGCAGUCAUUGAGGACGAUGAGCUGAACCUCGAAGAACUAAUGCGCCAGAAAGCGCUGUUGCAGGCAAGACUUGGUGAGUAUGCGACGGACGAGGAAGACGAGAGUGCAAACAACACCAGGGCAGGAAGGCAGCCGAAGAAAGUAAAGGUUGAUGGCAGUGAUGCAAUUAUCACCAUCGACGGAGAUUCGACUCCGGAUGAAGUGGAGCAUCAGCUCAAGAAGCAACCAAGCGGAGCGAAUCGAGGAUCACGAGGUGCAAAAGUGGAUCAACCGCUGGGCACGGCUAAAGGUGGCAACGUGGAAGCUGAGAAACGAGGCAAAGAGCAGUACAUGGGGGAUGGUCGAACGAAGCAGAUAGACCGCGAUCGAGAACGAGAAAGGGAUCGACGCAAUCGGGAGGAAGAUAAUUACAAGCGCCGAAUGGCCGAAGAGCGCUUCGAGCGAGAGAAGGUCCGUGAGCGGGACAGGGAACGGGCGCGAGCACGCCAACGUGACCGGGAUCGAUCGAUGGAGCGGUAUCGUGAUCGGCGAGGAUAUUCUCCCCGCGACCGACGCUCUCAGGACAGGUUCGACCGUGCCCGUGGUGGUCCCGGUGGUCGUGAUCGGUUACGGGCACGCAGCCGAAGUAGAGACCGCGUGGGGGGCCCAGGAAGAUUCAACCGUGACCGGGAUCGCGACCGGGACCGUGGCUGGGAAAUGAGGGACCGCGACCGCAACUAUCGGGGAUGGCAGCGUAACGGGCGUGACGGUCGAGCUGGUGGCAAGGCAAAUCGGAAAACAGAAGACGAUCGGUUCAAAGAUUCUCUCAGCGAAGGAUUGAAACAGCACAAGGAGUCUAGCAGUGACAGCGAUAUUGGCGAUAUCGACAUCGAUGACGACGAAGAUGAGGAGAAGAUCAUAGAGAAGAGGCGCAAGGAACGUGAAGCUCUGCUCAAGAAACUUGGCGUCGUGAAUGAGGAUAGUAGCACUGCGAUGGAAGUAGUGGAACCGCCGGAACUGCGGCAGAUGAACGCCAGCGCUGGACCAUCAUCCCGGAACGAUUCGCCGGGCAACAGUCAGGAAGAAGGAAUCGAUCUUUUGUCGGAAGGUCGGCAAUCCGACCAGUCCCUAACCCCACCGAUACCGAGCGAGCGGAAGGAUCUGAUGGAUAAGGUAGAACGUAAGCUGAAUGCACCCGAACCAUCGAAAGACCUGGACAGGCAGAGUAAGGAACCGAAACAUACUGCGAAAGAAAAUGCUAAACGUCCCGAAUGGGACAUGUUUGCCGAACAGGACAUCGACUCGAACUUCGACUCGCCUGGAACGGUGAUGGGCGGGGGCAGACAGGCACACGAAAAUCCGGCCCUGACAGACAACUGGGACGACGCGGAAGGCUACUAUCGUGUCCGGAUCGGUGAAAUGCUCGACAACCGGUAUGUGGUCGCCAACUACACCGGCCAGGGCGUGUUCAGUACCGUCGUGAAGGCACGGGAUCAGGCCCGUGGUAGUGCGUUUGUUGCGGUCAAGAUUAUUCGGAACAACGAAAUCAUGCAUAAAACGGGAUUACGGGAACUCGAAAUUCUAAAGAAGCUGAACGAUGCCGAUCCAACCGAUCGGUACCAUUGUCUUCGGUUGUACCGACACUUCUUCCACAAGCAGCAUCUUUGCAUGGUCCUAGAGCCACUGUCAAUGAAUCUGCGUGAGGUGCUCAAAAAGUACGGGAAAAACGUCGGUCUUCACAUCAAAGCGGUGCGGAGUUACACCCAGCAGCUGCUGCUUGCCCUGAAGCUGCUCAAAAAGACCGGAAUUCUGCACGCCGAUAUCAAACCGGACAAUAUUCUGGUGAACGAAAACAAUCUCGUCCUGAAGUUAUGCGAUUUCGGUUCCGCUUCGGCGAUCACCGACAACGAAAUCACUCCUUAUCUCGUGUCUCGCUUCUAUCGUGCGCCGGAGAUCAUUCUCGGGCUACCGUAUGACUAUGGCAUCGACAUGUGGUCGGCCGGUUGCUCCAUCUACGAACUGUACACCGGCAAGAUCCUGUUUAGUGGGCAGUCCAAUAAUCAAAUGCUUAAAUUUUUCAUGGAUCUGAAGGGCAAGAUGCCAAACAAGCUGAUACGGAAGGGCCAGUUCAAGGAUCAGCACUUUGAUCCGAACUGCAACUUUCUCUCACACGAAAUCGAUAAGAUUACCGAAAGGGAAAAAAUUGUGGUGGUGUCAGUUAUAAAAGCGACACGGGACUUGCAGCAGGAGCUGAUAGCUGGCCAGAAUCUCCCCGACGAUCAGAUUCGGAAGGUGUCGCAGUUGAAGGAUCUGCUGGAUAAAAUGCUAGCCCUCGAUCCGGCCAAGCGCAUAUCGCUGAACCAUGCUUUGGCGCAUCCCUUCAUACAGGACAAGAUCUGAAUGCUAAGAUGAAACUUAACACGACAUGGUCGGCCUAUAUACGAUGGAAGUGUACGCUUCAACUUUCGGAUGGAUAAGCAUUCUGAACAAAGCGUCAGUUAUAAACACAAACCUAUUCACACUCCUUUUCUUACUUGUGCUUCACUGUCUACGCCAUUCCCUCACUUCAUGCAUCGAUCGAUCGAAGGACGACCGGCCCCAGUAUGCACAACCUCCCCUAUCGUGUUCGUACCAGGCGGUGUGUGUUUGGUAAUGCACAGACCGCGCUUGUAGAGACGUAAUCUCUUGUUUUUUCGCGAAGCAAAAAUAAGAGAGCGAGUGUUGUUUCCCGGACAAGGACUCGUUUCCAGAGCGAAUGGAUAGUUGACAAGUUCGGACGCCGAUGAUAUCUGCGCUACUGAUGGGACCAAAUCACGAAUCGCCUACUGCUUGAGACAGAACAAAAAUUGUCCGUUUCGCAGCAACUAAUGGGCAGCGCCGUAGGAUUACUAUCCGGUUUUAAAUUGCAUGGCGGCAACACGGUCUUGAGUUUCUUCCCUGCCGAGCCUACAAGCGGGGAUGAAAAUGCUGUGCCAGAUAGUGCCAUUGGAAGUUGGUUACAUCUAUCAAAAUACACCGGUAAUCGACCGCCUUACAAAGGCGGGAAAGCGCAUUCGUAAGCAGUUGAUAACUACCGGAUUGUUCGCAACCUGAGCAAGGGCUCAUGAAUGAUUAGGUUGUUAUGUUUUCAUCCGUUUCAUACUUGCAUAAGUUAUUUGCCUGUGCAUUUGUGUUUCUUUCCAGCUUUCAUGUCACGAUGCAGCCCGUUGAACAAAAUUAUGCAACAAACGUUAGAUUGUGGUGGUCAAACGCAAUCAUGCCCAGACAAUGUUAUUUGGACUCGAAGCGAAACAUCAUCCUCGAGGGCAAGGACCUAUUCAUUCGUUGCGGAAAAAGAACAUAUCUAUCGACAUCGAAUAUUCCACAGUAUAUUUACUAAAUAUGGGAGAAAUCGAACCCCCUGAACCUGAACAAAUACGUCACCGGGAAGCCCGAUCAUCUGAAAAGUAGAAGUAACGGUAAAUGCAAAGGGAAGCUGACCGGAUACGUCACCAGGAAGUCCUUUGAAACGUCGGAUAAUCGAGAAAUGAGGAUGAAAUGAGGCGUGGCAACGCGCGCCGGGAUCAGCUAGUUGAAUCUAUAUUCAUCUACGUAACUUUAAGUCGCUGUGGCUUGUCUGUG